UACAGAGGGUGCAAGCGUUAAUCGGAAUCACUGGGCUUAAAGCGUUCGUAGGCGGACUUGCAGGCGCGUUGUGAAAGCCCCCGGCUCAACCGGGGAACUGCUUCGCGAACCGCAAGUCUUGAGUCAAGUAGGGGCGGUCGGAACGAUAGGUGGAGCGGUGAAAUGCGUAGAUAUCUAUCGGAACGCCAAAGGUGAAGACAGGCCGCUGGGCUUGUACUGACGCUGAGGAACGAAAGCGUGGGGAGCAAACGGG
rnacentral:rRNA from 1 species